UACAAGCCCUCUUGACUGGUGCCUCAGCAAGACAAGGCAAGGAAUCAGAAGAUGGUUCGGACAGUAGUAACACAUAUGGCAAUUUUGAUGGCAGAACAGAAGAUAAAAUUGGUCCAAAAACAAGGGUAGUUCCUUGUUAUACUAAAUUGGAAUUCCCUUUGUUUGACAGAAUGAACGACCCUUUAACUUGGUGCACUGAUGUGAACAAUUUUUUCUAAACCAACGAACACCAAAAGGUGAACCUCGCAGCAUUCCAUAUGAUGGGAGAGGCACAACUCUGGUUUUACAGAUUAGAACAAGAAGAACUUCGACUAUUGUGGAACGCGUUCAAAAAAUAUUGCAAUUUAAUAUUUGGGCCUCCACUCAGUUGCAAUCCUUUGGGUGAAUUGGCUAAUCUAAAGCAGAAGGGAUGGUGGAAGAAUACCAACG
rnacentral:misc_RNA from 1 species